AGCUUUAUGCAAACAUAACAGGAUCACCUUUCUUAUAGGACUAGAGGUCAUCAAAUUAGACUGAUAAAAUGUACUAAUUAGCAUAAUAAACACAAUGACAAUGUUGCCUUAGGUCAAUACUGUGAGUAAUAAUAUUAAUGAAAAAUGAUUUCUUAUCUUAAAUCUACGAAUAUCAAUGUCUUCUUACCUCAUACACAUUCGGGUGCCAAACUUUUGUAAGAAAUCUAAUUGAUGGCGGAGAGUAUGGAUAAUCUAGAGGGAACUUCAUUCUUGCCUACAAAACAAAACCAUAAAAAAUCCCUGCACCCAAGUCAUUGAUUUAUGAGCUUUUAACCAGGAAAAAGAAAUAACAUGGAGUGCUUUCCAAGAAAAUAACGCGCUCUGAUUGGAGGUCACCCGGACCCGUGUUCGCCCUCUCUGUUGCACUAGAAAAAAAUCAAUGACAAAAUCAGCUGGAAGCCUUCUCUGUCCUUGUUAGCAACACGUCAAUAUUGGGCAACGUUGUCGGCACCGUUUAUAAAUAAAUGUUUAUUUUUGUUUGAA